rnacentral:rRNA from 1 species
GUACACUCCUGCGGGAGGCAGCAGUGGGGAAUUUUGGACAAUGGGCGAAAGCCUGAUCCAGCAAUGCCGCGUGAGUGAAGAAGGCCUUCGGGUUGUAAAGCUCUUUUGUCAGGGAAGAAACGGUGAGAGCUAAUAUCUCUUGCUAAUGACGGUACCUGAAGAAUAAGCACCGGCUAACUACGUGCCAGCAGCCGCGGUAAUACGUAGGGUGCAAGCGUUAAUCGGAAUUACUGGGCGUAAAGCGUGCGCAGGCGGUUUUGUAAGUCUGAUGUGGAAUCCCCGGGCUCAACCUGGGAAUUGCAUUGGAGACUGCAAGGCUAGAAUCUGGCAGAGGGGGGUAGAAUUCCACGUGUAGCAGUGAAAUGCGUAGAUAUGUGGAGGAACACCGAUGGCGAAGGCAGCCCCCUGGGUCAAGAUUGACGCUCAUGCACGAAAGCGUGGGGAGCAAACAGGAUUAGAAACCCCUGUAGUCC